AGAGUUGAUCCUGGCUCAGGACGAACGCUGGCGGCGUGCUUUACCCAUGCAAGUCGGACGGUCCAGCAAUGGACAGUGGCAGACCGCUGAGUAACGCGUGAGUACUUAUCUAUCAGAGGGGGAUAGCCAUCCGAAAGGGUGGGUAAUACCGCGUACGAUCCUUUCGGGGAUGAGAGCAGAGAUGCGCUGAUGGAGGGGCUUGCGUCCCAUCAGGUAGUUGGUAAAGUGAUGGCUUACCAAGCCGAUGACGGGUAGCUGGUCUGAGAGGAUGAUCAGCCAGACUGGGACUGAGAGACGGCCCAGACUCCUACGGGGGGCAGCAGGGGGGAAUCUUGCACAAUGGGCGAAAGCCUGAUGCAGCGACGCCGCGUGAAGGAAGAAGGGUUUCGGCCUGUAAACUUCUUUUGAUGGGGACGAUGAUGACGGUACCCAUCGAAUAAGCCCCGGCUAACUACGUGCCAGCAGCCGCGGUAAUACGUAGGGGGCGAGCGUUGUCCGGAUUUACUGGGCGUAAAGAGCGCGUAGGCGGCAUGUUAAGUUGGCUGUGAAAGGCCCUGGCUCAACUGGGGUAAGUCGGCCAAGACUGGCAAGCUUGAGAGCGGUAGAGGGAAGUGGAAUUCCGGGUGUAGUGGUGAAAUGCGUAGAUAUCCGGAGGAACACCGGUAGCGAAGGCGGCUUUCUGGGCCGUUUCUGACGCUGAGGCGCGAAAGCGUGGGUAGCGAACUGAAUUAGAUACUCAGGUAGUCCACGCCCUAAACGAUGGACGCUAGGUGUAGGGGGUAUCGACCCCUCCUGUGCCGAAGCAAACGCAUUAAGCGUCCCGCCUGGGGAGUACGGCCGCAAGGCUAAAACUCAAAGGAAUUGACGG
rnacentral:rRNA from 1 species